CUAACACUCUUUUGUCUGCAGUUAUUGUUAUUGUUAUUAUUGUUAUUACAGGUUAUUGUUUGCUUACUGGAUUGUUGCUUGUCACUUAUAGGUCGAGGUUGCAGAUCUUCUCACCAGCAGUCAGCUCGCUCAGCUUGCAGCAACUCCAUCACAACUAAACACAAAACAAGAUGUGACAAAAGUCAUGGCAGUCAUCAACCCUGGUGACUUUGGUGCUUUCUUUGACACAGUCUCGCCAGCCAUUGAGGCCCACCCAGACAGCUACACAGACGAGGUGAAGUCUGCCUUCCUCCAGUCAGUUUAUGACAGAGCCGGUUUAUCCUCGCUAGCUGUUAGCGACAAAGAGUUUGUGCUGUGGCUCAGGCUGAGACUGAGGCCUCUCCUGGUCAAUCUCUCUCCCACCAUGGUGGCUCCUUUAUCUGACAUUGGGACUAACAGGAAUUGUAACAGCAGCCAAGAAAUGUAAGAAUGUAUUUCUACACUCGUUUUUAUAUUAGAUAUUGGAUGUUGGAUUAUGGUAACCUGUAGCAACACUGUGUGUUGAAAUUUCUGUAUUGUAAUUGGGAUUAUAUCUAAUUUUCUAAAUGCCUCAUUUAUUUCCUCUGAACGUAGCUAUACACUGCUGGACACACUGUAUGUGACACUCAGCAACAACACCC
rnacentral:lncRNA from 1 species